GAUGAACGCUGGCGGCGUGCUUAACACAUGCAAGUCGAACGAUGAAGCCCAGCUUGCUGGGUGGAUUAGUGGCGAACGGGUGAGUAACACGUGAGUAACCUGCCCUUAACUCUGGGAUAAGCCUGGGAAACUGGGUCUAAUACCGGAUAGGAGCGUCCACCGCAUGGUGGGUGGUGGAAAGAUUUAUCGGUUUUGGAUGGACUCGCGGCCUAUCAGCUUGUUGGUGAGGUAAUGGCUCACCAAGGCGACGACGGGUAGCCGGCCUGAGAGGGUGACCGGCCACACUGGGACUGAGACACGGCCCAGACUCCUACGGGAGGCAGCAGUGGGGAAUAUUGCACAAUGGGCGAAAGCCUGAUGCAGCGACGCCGCGUGAGGGAUGACGGCCUUCGGGUUGUAAACCUCUUUCAGUAGGGAAGAAGCGAAAGUGACGGUACCUGCAGAAGAAGCACCGGCUAACUACGUG
rnacentral:rRNA from 1 species